rnacentral:lncRNA from 10 species
GGCAGGAGUGCGAGACCGUGAACCCGGUCCGGGGCGCUCCCGCCUGCGUCCUCCAGACGGCAGAGGCGUGCGGGGAAGGCGCCCGCGCCGCUGGCUGACUCCUGGGGCGCGAGUCUCUCUUAGUUUGGACUCGGGAAUGAGAGAUUUGAGUUAGAGGGAGAGACGGAGAGAGAAAGGUUUCCGGGGGGGAUCUCCUGCCUUCUGAGGAGUCGUCACUCGGGAGAGGAAAGUGUUGCCUAGAGGACUUCCAGGAAGUGAAUGAGUCACCAGAGCCUGGAACUGCCAGGCUGGGAGGUGGGGAUCCCGGUGGAGGCGUAAAAGAGAUGGAAUUUCGCUCUUGUUGCCCACGCUGGAGUGCAAUGGUGCGAUCUCGGCUCACUGCAACCUCCACCUCCCAGGUUCAAGCAAUUCUCCUGCCUCAGCCUCCAGAGUAGCUGGGAUUACAAGCAUGCAUUACUAGUGGCUAAUUUUUGUAUUUUUAGUAGAGAUGGGGUUUCACCAUGUUGGCCAGGCUGGUCUCCAACUUCUGACCUCAGGUGAUCCACCCGCCUCGGCCUCCCAAAGUGCUGGGAUUACAGAUGUGAGCCACUGCGCCCAGCUGCCAUUCAAUGGACUAUUGUCCAUUUAUAAAAAGAAUGAAGAUCUCCAUGAGCAGAGCAGAUAUAAAGAAGACUUCUUCCAAGUUGCUGGAGGAGAUGGCCACUAGUAGCCUUGAUUUUAUAUCAUCCCAGCACAAAGACACCAAAUGCAAGAGACAGCAUUUUCCACCAGCUCUAGCUGGAAAAUCCUU